rnacentral:rRNA from 1 species
CUUCCCCUUCGGGGGACAAAGUGACAGGUGGUGCAUGGUUGUCGUCAGCUCGUGUCGUGAGAUGUUGGGUUAAGUCCCGCAACGAGCGCAACCCUUAAGCUUAGUUGCCAUCAUUAAGUUGGGCACUCUAGGUUGACUGCCGGUGACAAACCGGAGGAAGGUGGGGAUGACGUCAAAUCAUCAUGCCCCUUAUGAUUUGGGCUACACACGUGCUACAAUGGACAAUACAAAGGGCAGCUAAACCGCGAGGUCAUGCAAAUCCCAUAAAGUUGUUCUCAGUUCGGAUUGUAGUCUGCAACUCGACUACAUGAAGCUGGAAUCGCUAGUAAUCGUAGAUCAGCAUGCUACGGUGAAUACGUUCCCGGGUCUUGUACACACCGCCCGUCACACCACGAGAGUUUGUAACACCCGAAGCCGGUGGAGUAACCAUUUAUGGAGCUAGCCGUCGAAGGUGGGACAAAUGAUUGGGGUGAAGUCGUAACAAGGUAGCCGUAUCGGAAGGUGCGGCUGGAUCACCUCCUUU